ensembl:miRNA mdo-mir-7371l mdo-mir-7371l
CGUUGUACUAGGUGCUCCAUUUUCUAGAUUUUAUGAAACGUUGCAUCUUGUACAAUAGU